rnacentral:lncRNA from 1 species
ACUCAUUCAGCAACAGCAGCACCACCACCACCACCAGCAGCAGCGGACAGCCCUGAGGAGGUAUUAGACCCUCCAUGCUGUCUUAAACCUUGCAUGCUUUUUGUCUGUUUUCCUGCCACUUCUAAGCCUGACUGUUGUCAGGGUCGGUGGCUUACAUCCAUUGUUAGCCCAGGGUCCCUCCUCUUAACUGACUGCUGGCUGGCCCUAGUCAGACCUACAGUUUGAUGCUGAGUGGCCUCUCUUCCGGUAUUAGUGGGGAGAAUAUCCUGCCUCACUGGAGUCCCCCACCCCCAGCGACUGAGAAUUCAUGCAGCUUGCCCAGUGGCUCCAGAGGCCAAGUCUCUCUCAUGUCUUUGCAUGGGGCCUGCUGGGACUCGUCUCCUGCUAUGCUUCAGCUCCUGCCCAAUCACUUACCUGUGCCAGGAGAAGCCUCUGGACAUGCCUGGGCAGCCUCUGGACAUGCACUGCUCCCAUUCCUCGCUGAGAGGGCAUCUCCCCGAGUGCCUCUCCAUCCCAGUAGACUCUCCAGAUGUGCCCAGUCCUCAACUGGUGUGGCCUCACCAGAGAGACUCAGACCAAACAGGCCUCCACAGCCUCUCUCUAGACACUUUCUGGGAAACCACAGUGGAAUACAAAAGGGCACCAACUGUUCUGAUCUCUUGAAGAGCUCCUCAGGCAACCUUCUGUUUCUAGCAAGAUGAUACACCCAAGCCUUGAUGACAAGGCUUGGCUCUCAACCUCCUUGCUCCCCACCUCCUGUGAAAUACACAAAGAAAUUCAGUGAUCAUCGGGGAUGCUCUGGUCCAAACACUACCUGCCAGCCAGACGCAGGAGAUGGAUGGCUCAGCAGUAAUCGUGCUGCUUGAGCUUGGUGUCUAAUGGGGACAGUAGUGACAGGAAGUUCACAGGGACUGGAAGACAUGAGUUCUCUGAGGGAAAGGAAGGUGAAGCCUGGUGCUUAGGACCCUCAGGAGACCAUAGGAUGUGAGAAGGCUCAAGACACCCAGAGGUGGGGUCAGAAACAGGGCAAAGGAGACCAAGCAUGGGAGAGCUGCAGUGGACGUGUACAGACAGGAGAAGCAGGCCCUAAAGAAUCCCUGAGGCGGCAGAGAGGCUGGGCUGUGGAACUUUUUAAUUACUUUGCAUUAGGGGACUGUAGAGACCCAGAAGCCCACCCUUCCCCUCCCCUCAUCAGCUUAGCCCCAACAUAUGGUGGCUACCAAAGUAGUUAAAUCGGCUCUUGGUAGAAAAGGAAAGAGAUUCCUCCCAGGCUCUUCCCAGGGUCCACGGCCACACUCCAGGAGGGCUCAACUCCAGGGCAAGGCAGCUGGGACAGCAGGCAGCUGAAGGAGGACUAUUACUGCACCUUAGGGAAGAGUGCAGUGGCGAGUGGGGAGGACUCUGCUGGGACCCGGGGGUCAUGUGCAUUCCCAUUUAGUUGAGCUCUGCUUAAUCCGGGCCUAGGCUCACAGUAAUGGGGAACGAGGAGAGGCUCCCAUCAGAGACCAAGAAGAUGACAGACUCUCUGUAAAGGCUGUCAGAGGGGUCUGCAUGACCAACCACACCUGCUCCUGUUCCUUUGGGGCUCUUGUGACCUCCCUGUCUUCUUGUGAGAUCUUAUGUUCCUCCAACCCUGAGAGCUACAAACCAAUCUCCGGAAUAAAAAAAUCUGUCCCUCGUGCUGUCA